rnacentral:SRP_RNA from 1 species
GCCAGGCGUGGUAGUGCGUGCCUGUAAUCCCAACUACUCAGGAGGCUGAGGCAGGAGAAUCGCUUGAACCCAGGAGGUGGAGGGUGCAGUGAGCCAAGAUCACGCCACUGCACUCCAGCCUGGGAAACAGAGCGAGACUCCGUCUCAA